CGCGUAGGCGGCUCAUUUAGUCAGGCGUGAAAUUCCUGGGCUCAACCUGGGGACUGCGCUUGAUACGGGUGGGCUUGAGGGCGGAAGAGGCUCGCGGAAUUCCCAGUGUAGAGGUGAAAUUCGUAGAUAUUGGGAAGAACACCGGUGGCGAAGGCGGCGAGCUGGUCCGUUACUGACGCUGAGGCGCGACAGCGUGGGGAGCAAACA
rnacentral:rRNA from 1 species